CGGGGGCGAAGGCAAAGGGAAGAAUGUGCCUUGCUGCUUCAGAUCCAGGACUCAUUCCACUAUACCGUAUCAUCUCUCCCAUAGUAAGGAGCCAGGACUGAGAAAGAUGAGUUCCAGUCUUGUCCACAGGGCAACCCAACCUGGCGAUUGAUAUGGAAAACAAAUGAAUUGAUUAACUGAUGAAGCAAGUCAAGACGUGAAAUAUGAAAAAAUAAUUCACACUCAGCAUGUUACUAGGGAUUGCUGAAAGCCUAUGAUGUUGUUGAGAGCA